UUUUCUUCCCAGCUUGGGCUAAGGGGCUCCCUCAUUUAGUGUUAUAUGAAACGGAAUCGUACCAACCAAACAUAUCAUCUCUAUCUCGGCUUAAUUCAAGGUGAAUAACUAAACCCCAUUUAUUUUUAGAUAAGUUGUGGUUCAUUAAUGAAGGUUUUCUUGCAUAUAGAACCUGCAAUGAUCCAGGGUCAUUUGAUGUAUUUAGUUACAUGGUUGGAUUGGUGAAGAGCUAGAUGUCCUCAUUCAUAAUUACCAAGUAGGAUAUUUAGAAGACAGGUUUUUAGAAGACAGGUUCUGUUUUCGAGUUUCCUUUUUGAGCUGUAAAUGUUUUAACUUUUUUGCUUUUGUCUUAUCUGUUGACAGCUUCAACUGAUGAUGGAAAGUUUCUUCUUGCUGCAUGGAACUGUAGACGUCUUACUUGCACAGACGAUAUCAUCUCUCUUAAUGCUGGUGAUGUUUGGAAGGGGAGCACCACUUAUAUAGGAAAGUUGAGUUCCACUUUAUUUGCUGAGAGACUUAUUGCCUUUGCAUGUGUUGAAGGAAUCUUUUUCUCAGGAAGCUUCUGUGCCAUUUUUUGGCUUAAAAAGAAAGGAUUGAUGCCAGGUUUGACUUUCUCAAAUGAGCUUAUUUCUAGAUAUGAGGGCCUUCACUGCGAUUUUGCUUGUCUUCUGUACAGGUGGUGUUUUCUUAAUCAAUAUUUAAAUUUCAUGUUAGAUGAUUGGAACUAGAAUAGUAAUUAUAAUUUACCUAAUGCUGCUCUUUUUUUUCAUUUAAAAUCAUGGGUUCAAUUUUAGUUCCUCCAAAAAUUGGAAAAUAAAUGUUUUUGAAAAUUGAGAUCAUUGUUGUUGUUAAUAGUUUAUUACAGAAGCAUCCUAUAAAAUGAGUUUCUACAAAUUUAAUUCCAAAUACUACACCUUGCAAUGCCUUACAAAAACUAGGUGAUAUCUGAAACUCCUUCGAUCAGGGAAAAUAUGAUGAAGUAGGUGUAA